CUUCAAUUGGAUCCAACAUUCCAUUUAUUGAAACUCUGCUGUCAAAGCUCUGUUUUCUUUUUCUUUCAUAGGAUUUAACAGUCAGAAUUAGAGAUAUAAUGUGGGGCGCCGUUCAAUUGGGAGUAUUGGCGGCCUUUCUUGUACUCUUUGUCCCUCUGGGUAUGGCUGGUUGGCACUUGAGUCGCAACAAAAUGUUAUUUUUCAGCUGUGCCCUCUUCAUUACCCUUGCUGUUUGUGUUCAUUUGACCCCUUAUUUCCCUUCAGUCUCCUCUAUGCUUUCUUCAUCAUCAUCAUCAUCAAUGGUAAAUCUUGACUCUUGCAUUUCUUUACUUCACCAAGUAGCAUUUAAUUUUCAAGAAUUGAAUAAUGAGAAUUGUAGUGUGGAAAAUACUGUUAGGAGUAGUAGUGCGAAGUCUUGGAAGUGGAUUGAGUCUGAACCUGUUGUUCAAUGUGAUUUCCAAAAGUUGUCCAAGUCUCAUGCUUCAGAUUUGUUUAAUGGGUCAUGGGUUGUUGUUGCUGGGGAUUCACAGGCAAGGUUGUUUGUAGUUUCUUUGUUGGAGUUGUUAUUGGGGGAAAGUGAAAUGGAGAUGAUUAGGGGGGAUUUGUUCAAGAGGCAUAGUGAUUAUAACAUACUUAUUGAUGAGAUUGGGAUGAAGUUGGAUUUUAUUUGGGCGCCUUAUGUGAGUAACUUGACUGAUUUGGUUCUGGGGUUUGAAGAGAAAAAGAGUUAUCCUGAUGUAUUUGUGAUUGGGACAGGGCUAUGGGAUAUGUUACAUAUAAAUAAUGCAACUGAUUAUGGUGUUUCCCUAAAGUUGUUGAGGGAUUUGGUGGUAUUACUGUUACCAGUACCUUCAGAUUUUGUUAAUGAUGGAGCUGGCAUGAAUUUAGUUUCAGUUCGUUCACCCAACUUCUUUUGGCUGGGAAUGCCAAAGCUGAUAAACUCAAUGUUGAAUACAGAUGAGAAGCGAAAGAAGAUGACUGAUGUGAUGUGGCAAGCUUAUACUGAUGAGCUUUAUAGCAGUAAGCUGCUGCGACAAUCUGGUGGACCCCUUUUGUUGCUGGACAUUCAUGCAUUGAGUAAUAAUUGUGGAGCUCAUUGUACUACUGACGGAAUGCAUUAUCACGGAGUUGUAUAUGAAGCUGCAGUUCAUGUAAUGCUAAACGGAUUGCUUAUAGAAUCUAAUCAGAAGCUGUAAUGGAGACAGGGUAAUAGAAUUAGUUUUGUAAUUGCUAGAGCUUUCAUUAUUAUAUGGGAUUCUUUUCCUGGUGUUACACUUAUCAACUGAAGAUCAGUGGCAAGAAGUUUUUUAUGGUAGUCCAUACUAAGGUUACCGUAUCCUCCUCCAGUUAUGUGUCCACCAACACCAACAGUUGGACAAACACCAGCUGGGAAGGCAUGGACUUUGUUUUUCUCCCAAAUUCUGUAGUAAAGUUCGCCUAGAAGUGCACCAGCUUGGACCCAAGCAGUUUCAUUUUGGAUAUCUACAUCAAUUGAACGCAG